UUAAGCGAAUAAGCGUACACGGUGGAUGCCUAGGCAAUCAGAGGCGAUGAAGGACGUGCUAAUCUGCGAAAAGCGUCGGUAAGGUGAUAUGAACCGUUAUACCCGACGAUAUCCGAAUGGGGAAACCCAGUAUCCAAUGGAUACUAUCAUUAACUGAAUCCAUAGGUUAAUGAGGCGAACCGGGAGAACUGAAACAUCUCAGUACCCCGAGGAAAAGAAAUCAACCGAGAUUCCCCUAGUAGCGGCGAGCGAACGGGGAGCAGCCCAGAGUCUUAAUCAAUAACAGUGUCAGGAGAACGGUCUGGAAAGUCCGGCAGUAAAGGGUGAUAGCCCCGUAUCUGAAGAUGCUGUUAUUGUGAACUCGACGAGUAGGGCGGGACACGUGUUAUCCUGUCUGAAUAUGGGGGGACCAUCCUCCAAGGCUAAAUACUCCUGAUUGACCGAUAGUGAACCAGUACCGUGAGGGAAAGGCGAAAAGAACCCCGGCGAGGGGAGUGAAAAAGAACCUGAAACCGUGUACGUACAAGCAGUAGGAGCCUCUUUAUGGGGUGACUGCGUACCUUUUGUAUAAUGGGUCAGCGACUUAUAUUCUGUAGCAAGGUUAACCGUAUAGGGGAGCCGUAGGGAAACCGAGUCUUAACUGGGCGAAUGAGUUGCAGGGUAUAGACCCGAAACCCGGUGAUCUAUCCAUGGGCAGGUUGAAGGUUGGGUAACACUAACUGGAGGACCGAACCGACUAAUGUUGAAAAAUUAGCGGAUGACUUGUGGAUGGGGGUGAAAGGCCAAUCAAACCGGGAGAUAGCUGGUUCUCCCCGAAAGCUAUUUAGGUAGCGCCUCGUGAACUCAUCUUCGGGGGUAGAGCACUGUUUCGACUAGGGGGUCAUCCCGACUUACCAACUCGAUGCAAACUGCGAAUACCGAAGAAUGUUAUCACGGGAGACACACGGCGGGUGCUAACGUCCGUCGUGAAGAGGGAAACAACCCAGACCGCCAGCUAAGGUCCCAAAGUCAUGGUUAAGUGGGAAACGAAGUGGGAAGGCUCAGACAGCCAGGAUGUUGGCUUAGAAGCAGCCAUCAUUUAAAGAAAGCGUAAUAGCUCACUGGUCGAGUCGGCCCGCGCGGAAGAUGUAACGGGGCUAAACCAUGCACCGAAGCUGCGGCAGCGACACAAAGUGUUGUUGGGUAGGGGAGCGUUCUGUAAGCCUGCGAAGGUGUACUGUGAGGUAUGCUGGAGGUAUCAGAAGUGCGAAUGCUGACAUAAGUAACGAUAAUGCGGGUGAAAAACCCGCACGCCGGAAGACCAAGGGUUCCUGUCCAACGUUAAUCGGGGCAGGGUGAGUCGACCCCUAAGGCGAGGCUGAAAAGCGUAGUCGAUGGGAAACGGGUUAAUAUUCCCGUACUGGUGGUAACUGCGAUGGGGGAACGGAGAAGGCUAGGUUGUCCGGGCGACGGUCGUCCCGGUUCAAGCAGGUAGGCAGAGUGAUUAGGCAAAUCCGGUCACUUAAUGCUGAGAUGUGAUGACGAACCACUAAGGUGGUGAAGCAAUUGAUGCCCCGCUUCCAGGAAAAGCCUCUAAGCUUCAGGUUACCAACAAUCGUACCCCAAACCGACACAGGUGGUCAGGUAGAGAAUACUCAGGCGCUUGAGAGAACUCGGGUGAAGGAACUAGGCAAAAUGGUGCCGUAACUUCGGGAGAAGGCACGCUGGCGGUAGGUAAAGUCCCUCGCGGACAGAGCUGAAGCCAGUCGAAGAUACCAGCUGGCUGCAACUGUUUAUUAAAAACACAGCACUGUGCAAACACGAAAGUGGACGUAUACGGUGUGACGCCUGCCCGGUGCUGGAAGGUUAAUUGAUGGGGUCAGCCGCAAGGCGAAGCUCCUGAUCGAAGCCCCAGUAAACGGCGGCCGUAACUAUAACGGUCCUAAGGUAGCGAAAUUCCUUGUCGGGUAAGUUCCGACCUGCACGAAUGGCGUAAUGAUGGCCAGGCUGUCUCCACCCGAGACUCAGUGAAAUUGAACUCGCUGUGAAGAUGCAGUGUACCCGCGGCAAGACGGAAAGACCCCGUGAACCUUUACUAUAGCUUGACACUGAACAUUGAGCCUUGAUGUGUAGGAUAGGUGGGAGGCUUUGAAGUGUGGACGCCAGUCUGCAUGGAGCCAACCUUGAAAUACCACCCUUUAACGUUUGAUGUUCUAACCUAGGCCCAUAAACUGGGUCGGGGACCGUGUCUGGUGGGUAGUUUGACUGGGGCGGUCUCCUCCUAAAGAGUAACGGAGGAGCACGAAGGUUGGCUAAGCAUGGUCGGACAUCAUGCGGUUAGUGCAAAGGCAUAAGCCAGCUUGACUGCGAGAGUGACGGCUCGAGCAGGUACGAAAGUAGGUCUUAGUGAUCCGGUGGUUCUGAAUGGAAGGGCCAUCGCUCAACGGAUAAAAGGUACUCCGGGGAUAACAGGCUGAUACCGCCCAAGAGUUCAUAUCGACGGCGGUGUUUGGCACCUCGAUGUCGGCUCAUCACAUCCUGGGGCUGAAGUAGGUCCCAAGGGUAUGGCUGUUCGCCAUUUAAAGUGGUACGCGAGCUGGGUUUAGAACGUCGUGAGACAGUUCGGUCCCUAUCUGCCGUGGGCGUUGGAAGAUUGAGAGGGGUUGCUCCUAGUACGAGAGGACCGGAGUGAACGCACCACUGGUGUUCGGGUUGUCAUGCCAAUGGCAUUGCCCGGUAGCUAAGUGCGGAAGAGAUAACCGCUGAAAGCAUCUAAGCGGGAAACUUGCCUCGAGAUGAGUCUUCCCUGUCGCUUUAAGUGACCUAAAGGAACGUUUAAGACUAAGACGUUGAUAGGCUGGGUGUGUAAGCGUAGCGAUACGUUGAGCUAACCAGUACUAAUGAACCGUGAGGCUUAACCUG
rnacentral:rRNA from 1 species